UUGACGAAUACACCCAAGGUCACUCACGAUGGAGAGGAAAAGUGCCUGUCUCUCUCCAGAGCACGCAACCCGUUCGCCGCGCCCCCACGGAGGGCGGCGAAGAGACGGCGCAUCAGGAAAGGGGCUGCGCGGGCGCGAGGACUGGCCGGUGGGCGUUCCGGCGCCGCGAACCGCGGAGCCUGCAACUUACAAGUAGGACGUUGAAGAAAGGACAAGCCCCCUUUGUCCUGGACGUAAGCCGCAAGUCGUCCUGAGUGGUGCACACCGCGAAGACUGAGGAAACUGGAUCACAGGGCUGGGCCGUGAGCCUUGAACCUCGGAGAACGUCGCAUUACUGCUCCAGCGCGCCGGUUCAGGGCCGCGGGACGCGAGCCCUUUAAAAGGAUGGAUUUGCUUCCUGUGACUCCCUGGAAGAGACGUCUUCACCACCGCACUGCGUAGAGGCCGGCGUCGUCGCCGGCUCACCCCGCUUGCUGCCUCCCCGCACAAAGCCCAGCCCAGGUAGCUCAGGUUAGCUGGAGCCCCGGAGCCUCACCUACAAGUACCUGGCCUGUCCUAGGUUGUGUGGGGACGGGAUGUGGCUUCUGCAAGCCCAGAAACCUGUUUCCACUCCCCCACCACAAAUGGAACUCACCCAGCUCUACUCGCAAGGUUAGGAGCCAAAAAUUCCCAUGAUCGCACGCGAAUUCAUUUGACUUCCGUUUCAGUUAAGAUGCCUUUUCAGCAUUUUGUUGCUUGUUUGCAGAAGGGAGAGAGGUAGGAUCAAGAAUAGUUUUUACUCCUGCAGAGUCGAGUGCGAGACUUGGAGGCUGAGUCCAGGCGCUCUCCCCUCCCCGCCAGUCCCGUGUCCUGGAGCAGGUCACUGACCUGGUUCCUCGAGUGCGACAGCGCAGCCUCAUCGUAAUAAACCGCCUCCCAAAGCGUUGUCAGAUCAAAUUCCAGAACAUGUUACUGGAAAGCACCUUGAACACUCUAAACUGCAGCACAGUUAUUAGUUAGCAAUACUCUUUGGGGUUUCACUGGCACCUUUUCUAACAAAUAAGAUUGAUAGAUGCCUGCUCAAACAAAUUGAAGUGCUUGUCUCAGAUGACACACUUGGCAGGCAUGGGACGUUCACAGGCCAACUAGAGAGCUAAUUUCAAAACUGAGAUAUAAAAGUGUAUCGCUGUACUUACAAGUUACCAAGUGUUGAGAAAUUACUCACUUUCAUUUGUGUGUUUAAUGUCUUUUUUGUUUUUUUAGACGGAGUCUCACUCUGUUCCCCAGGCUGCAGUGCAGUGGCAUGAUCUCGGCCCACUGCAACCUCCGCUUCCUGGGUUCAAGCAAUCCUCACAUUUCAGCCUCCCGAGUAGCUGGGAUUACAGGCGCGCACCACCAUGUCCAGCUAAUUUUUAAAAAUAUUUUUAGUAGAGACGGGGUUUCGCCAUGUUGGCCAGGCCGGUCUCAAACUCCUGGCCUCCAGCAAUCCGCUGGCCUCGGCCUCCUGAAGUGCUAGGAUUACAGGCGUGAGCCACCGCGCCUGGCCUGUUUAAUGUCUUGCAGUGGGGUCAUCUCCGAAACAAAGAGGGAUGGGAAGAAGGUAGGUGCCAAGAAGUCUGCUGGUUGGAAGAUUUCAUCUCAUUGGCGAGAUCCCUGGGUUUCUCCACCUCAGCAGUGUUGGCUUUUGGGAUGGGAUAAUCCUUUCAUGUGGGGUCUGUUCCAUGCUUUGUAGGAUGUUUGACAGCAUCCCUGGCCUCCACCCACUAGAUGCCAGUAGCACACACACUCCUCCAAAAUUCACGGAAAACGUCUUCAAAGUCAAAUAUGUGGCCCCACCUUCAUCUCCAUCCCCAACCCCUGAUUUAAAAUUUGCCACUGGUGAUGAUCUCAUUGGGAGCUAUUGAGAAUACACAGGACUGUGGUUUACACCUGUAAUCCCAACACUUUGGGAGGCUGAGGCUGGAGGAUGGCUUGAGCCCAGGAGUUUGAGACCAGCCUGGGCAACAUAGCAAGACCCCAACUCUAAAAUAAAUAAAAUUUUAAAAAAUUUUAAAAAGGCCAAGAACAGUGGCUCUCACCUGUAAUCCCAGCACUUUGGGAGGCCGAGGCAAGUGGAUCACUUGAGGUCAGGAGUUUGAGACCAGCCUGGCCAACACAGUGAAACCCCAUCUCUGCUAAAAAUACAAAAAUUAGCGAGGCGUGGUGGUGCACGCCUGUAAUCCCAGCUGCUCCAGAGACUGAGGCAGGAGAAUCGCUUGAACCCAGGAGGCAGGGUUUGCAGUGAGUCGAGACUGUGCCACUGCACUCCAGCCUGGGUGACGGAGUCAAACUCCAUCUCAAAAAAAAAUACACAGGAUUGUGGCUCAUGCCUGUAAUACCGGCACUUUGGGAGGCCAAGGUGGUAGGAUGGCUUGAGCCCAGGAGUUCAGGACCAGCCUGGGCAACAUAGCAAGACCCCAACUGUACAAUAAAUAAAUAAAAUUUUUUAAAAUGAAACAAAGGCCGGCCAGCUGCAAUGGCUCACGCCUGUAAUCCCAGCACUUUGGGAGGCCGAGGCAGGCAGAUCACUUGAGGUCAGGAGUUCUAGACCAGCCUGGCCAACGUGGUGAAACCCCAUUUCUACUAAAAAUAUAAAAAUUAGCCAGCCGUGGUGGCAGGCACCAGUAAUCCGAGCUAUUUAGGAGGCUGAGGCAGGAGAAUCGCUUGAACCCAGGAGGCAGGGGUUACAGUGAGCCGAGAUUGCACCACUGCACUCCAGCCUGGACAACAAGAGUGAGACUCCAUCUCAAAAAAAAAAAAUUAAAAAUAAAAGAAUGCACAGUCCAGUAAUGUCACCCAGCCCUAUAUCAGUAAAGGUCACACUCUAGAGUGGUACAUAUCUCAGCUGCAUCUAAGGCCUUGCUAAUUAGCUCAUUAGAAUGUCACAAAUGGGUUUUUAUAUUACCCAUGUAUAGCUGCCAAAAAUGUUUAAGUGAAUCUAAUCAAAGUUGGAAAAAAAAAUAAGAAAAAUCCAGGUUGGAAGACAUUCAGCAAAACAAUUUCCCUGCACUACACUCUAAAAAAAGUCAAGCUAGGGAAUUGGUCCAGACAGAUAACACAACUGGGUUGGUCCAUUAAGUGACCCCUGAUGCAGCACUGCAUUGAAGGCAAAAAAGCUGUGAGAGAGAUUUGAGGGACAACUGGGGAACUUUGUAGUUAUAUAUGGACUAUAUAUUAGACAGUAUUAUUGUAUCAUCAUUAGAUUUUUCAGUGUGACAGUGGCUAUUUACAAGAAUGCCCUAGUUCUUAGGAUGUUAGUGCUGAAUCAUUAGACAAGAGACCUGAUGGCUACAACUGACAUAUAAAUGCCUCAGAGACUGAUGUAUUUUAUAUGGAGGUAAAGCAAAUGUAACAAACUGUUAAUAGUUGGUGGAUCUAAGUGAUGAGUCUAGGUGUGUUAUUGUGCAGUUUUUUCAACUUUUCUGGAAAACGAACUUUUCAAAAUAAAAAAUUGGAAAAAUAGAA
rnacentral:lncRNA from 1 species